rnacentral:misc_RNA from 1 species
AACCAGUGUAAACUACGCAGAGUCAUCCUGCUCUUCUUCAUUUCUUCUAAUGAUUCAAAGAUUUGUCCGUACUGAUCGCCGGAUUCUCACAUUCCCGGCUGUUCAUCCUUGCGAGGGCAUUUCUCCGGGGACCCUUUUGUCAUCUUUAAUCGAACUCUCCCAAAAGAUAUGCAAUUAUCAGUCCAAUUUCUUUGCCACCCAGCGGAGGAAUGCCCGCGAAGCCAUUCGUCAAAUUGGAAUUCUUCUCAUAUUCUUCGAGGAAAUCAGGGAUCGCCGAUUGGUUCUCUCGGACUCGGCAGUUCUUUGCUUCUCUGAGCUCCACCUCACCUUUCAAAAAAUCCAGUUCUUGUUCGAAGACUGUACACGUGAAGGUGCCAGGCUAUGUAUUCUAAUGAAGUCAAAGUUUAUCGCCACUCAGUUUCGUGUGUUAAUUCGAGCAAUUGCCACUGCUCUUGAUGUUCUGCCAUUGAAUCGGAUAGAUGUGGGCGGUGAAGUGAAGGAAUUAGUUGAGUUAGUAUCAAGGCAAGCACGCAAGGCGAAAUUCGAGCUGGACCCUGAAGACGAAUGCGCCUCAAAACAAGUUCUUUUCAUAUUGAACUACUUAGAGAAGGGAAUUGAGCCUCAAUUGAGCUUUUUGAAGCGGGUUCUUGACUAUCUCGAGAUUAGAAACUGGAGUGAUUGUGCCAAGGAAGUCAAGUUCUUGGAAGAAGAGAUUGGCUUUCAAUGCUCAGACUGUGAUGAGAGAGAGGUUCCAUUCCUGAGCAGCUUGUUGGGUUUGAUGAGCUACUCCAGAGCAGUAAUUUUCGAAACAUUGGAUUAUCGAAACAAUGACCAAAUUGAUGUGAGAUGCAACAUGGAGACGCUCAGUUGCUUAAAUCCUGAAGAUUUUCGAUGCCCAAUUUCGCUUGAGCUAAUGCUUGAUCCAGUAACUGUAUCAACCGGGCAGACUUACGAUCGAUCUUCGAUUGAAAAAUGGUUCAAAGCUGGAAAUAUGAUUUGUCCCAAAACAGGGGAGAGGCUGAAAAACACAGAGCUAGUCCCCAACACCACUUUUAGAAAGUUCAUCCAACAGUUCUGCAGCGACAAUGGCAUUUUUCUGUCUAAAUCAGGAAGCAGAAGUCGUGAUAUAACGAGAACUAUUGUUCCUGGCAGCCCUGCAGCAGCAGAAGCUAUGAAAUUCCUUUCAAGGUUUCUUGCAAGGAGGCUGGUUUUUGGGUCAGGUGAACAGAAAAACAAGGCUGCUUAUGAGAUUCGGUUGCUUGCAAAAUGGAACAUAUUUAAUCGAUCUUGUUUGAUUGAAGCAGGCACAAUCCUACCUCUCAUAAACCUUUUGUCUUCUUCAGAUAGUUCUGCGCAAGAGAAUGCUGUUGGAGCUCUAUUAAAGCUCUCAAAGCAUACCAGUGGCAAGAAGGUCGUAAUUGAUAGUGGUGGAUUGAAACCAAUUGUUGCAGUCCUUAAGAGAGGAUUGAGUUUUGAAGCGAAGCAAAUAGCAGCGGCAACAAUUUUUUACCUUGCUUCGGAGAAGGGAUACAGAAAAUUAAUAGGAGAAUUAACUGAAGCAAUUCCAGCACUUGUGGAGCUGAUCAAGGGAAGGCCAACUAGUGGCAAAAAGAAUGCAGUGGCUGCCAUUUUUGCAUUGCUUCAAUACCCAGGGAACCACCAGAAAGUAGUUGCAUCUGGUACUGUUCCGUUGCUAAUUGAAAUUCUAUGCUUGUCGGAUAAGGAUGGACUUGUAGCAGAUUCACUGGCAGUUGUUGCAGCACUGGCUGAGAAUGUUGAUGGGGCAGUAGCAAUCCUGCGAACUUCAGCUUUAUCAAUAAUAACUAGGAAUUUGCAAUCCUUAACAUCUAGAGCUGGGAAGGAGUAUUGUGUUUCGAUCUUGUUAUGUUUGUGUAAACAUGGAGGAGUAGAAGUGGUGGAGGGUUUAGCAAAGGAUCCUGCUCUUAUGAGUGCACUGUAUUCAAUUGUAACAGAUGGCACGUCUCAGGCCAGCAGUAAAGCUAGGUCCCUGAUAAAAAUUCUACUUAAAUUCCGAGAAACAAGCUCUUCAGGAUCGAUAGGUUCAGCUCCAUGUGAACGACCAGUUCAUGUGAGGUAAUUAUUUGUUGUAGAUUUGAUUCGAUUUCUUUCUGUAAAUACAUUCCAGGGUUAGCUCGGUAUUUUGAGAGUUAAUUGCCAUGUCAUACAAUUACAGAUAUUGAUUGAUCAGUCAGGUACGG